rnacentral:rRNA from 1 species
ACACGACUACAUUAGAUACCCCCGUAGUCCCAGCCGUAAACUAUGCGCGUUAGGUGUACUGGUGACCACGAGUCACCGGGGUGCCGAAGGGAAACCGUGAAACGUGCCGCCUGGGAAGUACGGUCGCAAGGCUGAAACUUAAAGGAAAUUGGCGGGGAGCACCACAACGGGUGGAGCCUGCGGUUUAAUUGGACUCAACGCCGGAAAUCUCACCGGAUAGGACAGACAUAUGAUAGUCGGGCUGAAGACUCUACUUGAUGAUCUG